UACGAAGGGCGCGGGCGUUAUUCGUUUUGAUUGGGUGUAAAGGGUACGUAGGCGGCUGUUGAAAUUCUUAACUUAAAACGCAGGGUGUUCCCAUGCGACAGUUUUUUAAAGAUUCAGCUAGUGAUGGAGAGUGGUUGGGGUAAUUUCUUAUGUAGGGGUAAAAUCCUACCAUAUGAGAACGAACACCGGCAAGCAAAGGCGCCUUUCUAGUUCCAUCAGACGCUAAGGUACGGAAGCUUAGGUAGCAAACAGG
rnacentral:rRNA from 1 species